rnacentral:rRNA from 1 species
GAUGAACGCUGGCGGCGUGCCUAAUACAUGCAAGUCGAACGCACAGCGAAAGGUGCUUGCACCUUUCAAGCGAGUGGCGAACGGGUGAGUAACACGUGGACAACCUGCCUCAAGGCUGGGGACAACAUGUGGAAACAGACGCUAAUACCGAAGAAAACUCAGUGUCGCAUGACACAAAGUUAAAAGGCGCUUUGGCGCAACCUAGAGAUGGAUCCGCGGGGCAUUAGUGAGUUGGUGGGGUAAAGGCCUACCAAGACAAUGAUGCAUAGCCGAGUUGAGAGACUGAUCGGCCACAUUGGGACUGAGACACGGCCCAAACUCCUACGGGAGGCUGCAGUAGGGAAUCUUCCACAAUGGGCGAAAGCCUGAUGGAGCAACGCCGCGUGUGUGAUGAAGGUUUUCGGGUCGUAAAGCACUGUUGUAUGGGAAGAACAGCUAGAAUAGGGAAUGAUUUUAGUUUGACGGUACCAUACCAGAAAGGGACGGCUAAAUACGUGCCAGCCGCCGCCGUAA